rnacentral:rRNA from 1 species
GACGAACGCUGGCGGCGUGCUUAACACAUGCAAGUCGAACGGAGUGGCGAACGGGUGAGUAACACUUGGGUGACCUGCCCUGCACUUCGGGAUAAGCCUGGGAAACUGGGUCUAAUACCGGUUAGUGUGGGAUGGGCCGGCGGCGUAUCAGCUUGUUGGGGGGGUAAUGGCCGACCAAGGCGGCGACGGGUAGCCGGCCUGAGAGGGUGGACGGCAACAUUGGGACUGAGACACGGCCCAGAAUCCUACGGGAGGCAGCAGUGGGGGAUAUUGCACAAUGGGGGGAAGCCUGAUGCAGCGACGCGGCGUGGGGGAUGACGGCCUGCGGGUUGUAAACUCCUUUCACCAUCGACGCGGUAGAUGGAGAAGAAGCACCGGCUAACUACGUGCCAGCAGCCGCGGUAAUUC